UUAACUCAAAUUUCUAUGGUGUUGAAACGUGUGUCUACUUUUGCCGCUAGGGGCCCUGUUCCAAUGGCAUACAAAUUGGAGUUA
rnacentral:pre_miRNA from 1 species